AAUAUUAAAUUACUUACCAAAUCGCAUGGCCAUGCAACCAUUUCACCAAGUGCGUCUCCAAGUGUUUGACAAUAACCAUAAGGUCGAAUUAAUCGCUCUUCAGAUUCAACUACUACUUUAACUUGCACUUGACACCGAUUCUCUCCCAAUACUUGUCUCCCAACUUUUGCAUUGGGCUAGUGCUAUGUACACAUCCUUUAGCCACAAUUUUUCCUUGUUGAGAUACACUUUUAAGAUCAACAUGAACUCCAAUCUACAAAUAUUUUGCAAAAUGUUAAUAUGAUAUAUGGAAAUAUAAAAACUAAGGACAUAUAACAAUUUCCUUUCCCUGUAGAAAAUAAGCAAAACGAGAAAUCCUUGGGGCAAGUCUAAGCGCAGAAAUUUAGACAUAGAGUUUUGCUUUUAAUUGUGUGUUCUGUCUACAUUUACAAUGCAUAGUUUCUAAUGAGUAAUGAAUAAUAAAAAUUGACGAAGCCUUUAAGAGCAAAAAGACCACCAAAGUCUUCCUUAACACAAAAAAGUUGAAUCAGUUAUCAAAUGCUCUUAAUGUUAAGCCCGAGAUUAUAUGACAUGUCAGGGAAAAACUGAGUUAUUUCUUUGUCUUUGCUAUAUAAGUAAAAAAAUACUAAGCAGCUAUAUAAAAAAAAAAAAUUACUAAGCAGGCUCUCGAAAUUGGAUGUAUGCAAUCCACUAUAGUGGAUUCAUCCAACUUACCAAGAAAGCGAAAAAUACUAAGAAUAAAUAGACAUAGAGGCUCAAGUAAUUCAGGCCUUUCUUAAGAAGAUCAAUAACCAAUAGCUGGAAACAAAAAUGCAGGUCUCUACCCAUGAUAAAAGCUCCAGUUAACAGGGAACAAUAAAAGCUCAAAAUUGUUAUUCCCACUCCCCACACUAAACUUGACAAGAUUAAUUGUACUAAUAUUUCAAAAAGAAUUAUUACUAAUUUAUUUAAACACACAUCACAUAUUAAAGUAAAGAACACAUCACAUAUUAAAAUAGAGGUACAUACUAAAGUAGAGGUAAAUGAAAAAGGAUAAGUACCUGAAGAUGUUGGUUUGGUGAAAUCAUUCUUGGUAGAUUAAUUUGAGCAACUUAAUUAGGUAGAAUAUGUAGAAUCAAAACCAGAGGUAAGGUAAGAGAAAUUUAACCGGAGCAGUCAAAAACAUGAAUUCAACCAUCGUCACCAUUUUGAUCAACCACUCAAAAUUGCUAUUCCCACUCCCCACACUAAACUGGACAAGAUUAAUUGUACGAAUAGUCUAAUAUUUCGAAAAGAAAUAUUACUAAUUCAUUUAAACACACAUCGCAUAGUAAAGUAACAUAUCACAUAUUACAAUAGAGGUAUAUACUAAAGUAUAGGUAAAUGAAAAAGGAUAAGUACCCGAAGAUGUUGGUUUGGUGAUGAAAUCAUUCUUGGCAGAUUAGAGCUUUGAGAACUUCUUGUACAGCCCCAUUGGAUACUCGUCUANUGCAUAAUCUUACUAUGUGGCUGGUGCACUUGCUCAUCUGACAAGCUAAAAGUAGUCUGUUUAAGCUUUCGAUUUUUAGUAGUCAUACUUGCAAGUGCAAGUAAUCUGUUUAAGCAAAGUUUCUCAUUCUGACUUCCAUGCUUGAAUGAUUUUCCUUGCAAUUCUCGGGCUUUAACAUUGAUUAAACUUUAUUAAGCCCCAUUAGUAGGGCUUGACUCGAUAUGUUUAAACAAUAAAAUUGAAAGGGCUUGACUCAAUGCCAUAAAGAAGAGCACAACCAAAGGGAUAAUAUGUUUAAACAAUAAACUUGGAAGGGCUUGACUCUAUGCCAGAAAGAAGAGCACAACCAAAUGGAUAAUAUAUUGAUAGAAUACACACUUAGCACAUACUACAAAACAAACCUGAAUUUUAUAUAUUGAUAGAAUACACACUUAGCACAAAGUUCUAUGAAAAACAUCAUAUCAACAAUGAAACUCCAUACACAACCUUAUUCUUCAGAUCAAGAAUUCACUGAAUUUAAAUGUGUAGCUAAGCCUGCCCUAUUCACUUUUCUCACAAGAAUUAGGAGAUUAGCAAACAUCCCAAGCAAUCAAAUAUAACGUAUAUUCUGGAAUGAAAAACACAUCUAUCCAAACUAAGAAGACAAGCUAGCUAUAAAAAUGUCGACGACAUUCGUUCGACGUUCAUAACUCCCAAAAAAACCACGGUACUGAAAAUAACAAAUUAGAAAUACCAGAUGUUCAAUCCAAAUUGUAGGAAUAAGAAUAAUAAAAGUAUGUCAAAGACUAACCUCACCAGAGCCUACGAAUUUACGCUGGAAUUGAUGGCUGAAAGGAAGAAUAAGGACAAUUCAAAAUCAUGGGGGAAAUAGAAGAGUAAAAAUUCAUCAAAGUCUUACCUCACCGGUACCUUUAAAUACACGAUAAAAUUGAUGGCUGCAAAGAAGAAGAUAGCAAUUCAAAAACUAAUUGAUUGAACUCAUACAUCAGAAUUUUUAUAGAGCACACAAAUUUAGUCGUGUAAGUUCCUCACCUUUCGGGUGGCUUCAGAUUGGCAACGACUUUCAACGUGAACCGCUGAAAUUCUGAUUGAGGCAUAAUGAGUUUAAGAAUGAGGGCUUUUUUGAUUUCUGAUUUUUGAUAACCGUCUAGACAUGAUAGAGAUAUGUUGCCGCCAAGCUUUUACCGGGAGAAGGAAAU
rnacentral:lncRNA from 1 species